rnacentral:rRNA from 1 species
AGUUUGAUCCUGGCUCAGAUUGAACGCUGGCGGCAUGCUUUACACAUGCAAGUCGAACGGCAGCGGGGGCUUCGGCCUGCCGGCGAGUGGCGAACGGGUGAGUAAUACAUCGGAACGUGUCCUUAAGUGGGGAAUAACGCAUCGAAAGAUGUGCUAAUACCGCAUAUCUCUCAGGAGGAAAGCAGGGGAUCGAAAGACCUUGCGCUAAAGGAGCAGCUGAUGUCUGAUUAGCUAGUUGGUGGGGUAAAGGCUUACCAAGGCAACGAUCAGUAGCUGGUCUGAGAGGACGACCAGCCACACUGGGACUGAGACACGGCCCAGACUCCUACGGGAGGCAGCAGUGGGGAAUUUUGGACAAUGGGCGAAAGCCUGAUCCAGCCAUGCCGCGUGAGUGAAGAAGGCCUUCGGGUUGUAAAGCUCUUUUAGUCGGAAAGAAAGAGUCAUAGUAAAUAGCUAUGAUUUAUGACGGUACCGACAGAAAAAGCACCGGCUAACUACGUGCCAGCAGCCGCGGUAAUACGUAGGGUGCGAGCGUUAAUCGGAAUUACUGGGCGUAAAGGGUGCGCAGGCGGCCUUGUAAGUCAGAUGUGAAAGCCCCGGGCUUAACCUGGGAAUUGCGUUUGAAACUACAAAGCUAGAGUGCAGCAGAGGGGAGUGGAAUUCCAUGUGUAGCAGUGAAAUGCGUAGAGAUGUGGAAGAACACCGAUGGCGAAGGCAGCUCCCUGGGUUGACACUGACGCUCAUGCAC